ensembl:lncRNA
GAGAGGGUGUCGCCUAAAACAUGCCAACCAGUCCGUAUGUGUCUCAGUUUAGAGAUGAUGGAGGACAUCGUGUGUUUAAUGAUCUGACAGCAGACUGCAGCAGGUGUGAAUCUCCCAGCAGGCCUGAGCAGAGGACAGCGUACGUGGAGACGCUGCUGUCGUCCCUCUCUGUCUCUCACUCGCUUCCUCUUUCUCUUCCCCUCCGAUGUGGCUGUGCUUUGAAGCCGGAGUGAGGAACUGUGCGAGCGACGCUUUCAAAGCGUCCGUGUCAUUUAGCUUGCUGACUUUGAGCAGGUCCUUACCCAGCCUCCAUCUCUCUCCACUUUCAAAGCCAGGCGUUGUGGGGGAGGAUCAGAGAGAGAGAGAGAGGGAGGAUGGAGGGGGGAGCUAGACGGAGGCGAGGCUUUACGGAAGAUCAGUCAGAUCCUCCUGACGCGUGGAUACUCUCGAUCGGGGGGCCUUCGGGCCAAAUGUGCAGAAUCUGCCGGCAUCUCUGCUCGGCGGCUGUCAGGGAGGAUCUGCUCGCAUGUUUGUCACCAGACGUUUGUGCGACGGCAGCCGGACAUGUUUCAGGCUCAGGGGACACAGAGAGGGAUUUAAUGCAACACUUUAGAAAUGAGAACUUGAUUUAUUUCCGUGGUGUUGCUGUUGGGCUGAUCGUGGAGGGCUCUGGUGUAUUACAGGUGCUAAAGAAUCCCUUUGGACGGCCUGCAUGUUCCAUCCAGCUCUUGGACAGAAAUCAUGAGAUGAAUGAAGACGGAUGAUCGGCACCGACUCCCAGAACAACAACAGAACCAGCGACAGGCGAGCAGACGGUCGUCGCACGGUCACAGUCUGGAUCGCUCUACGAUGAUAUCACCAAAAUAUCUGAGCUGUAAACGCUGGUGGUUUUAAAUAAUGACACUAUUGAUCACAGCCAGAAACUGUAAAUAUAGAAAUCAUUGUUGGAGUUUCUACUUUUCUGAUCAUGUGUGAUGAACACUUUCAACUUCAAACGGAGAUAUUGUUACUUUAACUUUAUUCUGAUUUAUUUCAGUUCCUUUACAAACAUUUUUGAUAUUAUAUUUAUUUCGGCACUGCUCGGCACAUAUUAUUACCCAUUUUCUGACAUUUUAUGUACCAAAAAUUCAUCAAUAAAUCAAGAAUCUCUGCGUGGCGGCUGGAUGCAGCCUGAUGUCACCCUGAUUAAACUCCAGCCUGUCUGUCGUACAGCAGCUCUGCAUUCGACUCUGGUCUAUUUCUGGAGCUGUUGCUGCAGAUAUGACUCUUUUUUUUCCUUCUUUCAAGCACAGAUUUCUUCCUGGAUGUAAAAAAACAACCUAUUGUUUCCUCCGGUGUCAUCUGUGGGUGUCUUUUCCUUAAAAUAUCCAUGAAGUUGUCGAAAGAAAAAUAGGUUCUACAGCAUUAUCAGCAUGUCUGUAACAUCCCUCUUUGGCUGAUUACUCUCUAAUAUGUGGAAAUGUAAUAAACACAGAAAAUAAUGUCAAACCUCCUUUAUUUGCUUAAUUAGGGUGGAUAAUAAGAUGCUAAUGGUCCCUGCCAAAUUAACUACCUUUGGUUUAACGUCAAUAAACCGAGUAUUAAUUGUAAAAUUAAGAUAUUUUCAUGUUUUUUUGGAUCACAUUCACUUUUUGCUCUUCACAGGUCAGCUGACAACAACCUGAAGAUGAUUUUGAACCAGAAAAUCAAACGGACUGAAAGACCUGACGGGUGACAGCAGGAGGACGACGACAGAAGCGUUUAAACUGCAGAAUUAAUGAUCCCUUUAAUUACUCCUGAGAGCUCCCCGGUGAAGAGGAGUCGCCGCUAACUGCCCACGACAAAGAGCCGACGCUCUGCGGCUGAGACGAAGAGCAGGAGGGCUGCAAAUAACUCCAGCUACCUGCUUUCAUGUCCGACACACAACAACCCCAUUGAGAAAUCAGUCGAGAAAACUCCCAUGAAGAACCCGAGCGUCGGCCCACCGCCUCGC